rnacentral:snRNA from 1 species
GCCUAUCUAGGCGGUUAAUGUUUGCGCUGUAUCGAAAGUGAGCAUAAACGUUGCUGGCACCCUAGCAUUUUCAAACACACUGGUAGACUUCGUGUCUAUUAUAGCUUUUUUUGGUCCGUAAGGGCUUU